GUGAGUAACGCGUGAGAAUCUGGCUCCAGGUCGGGGAUAACAGUUGGAAACGACUGCUAAUACCGGAUGUGCCGAGAGGUGAAAGAUUUAUUGCCUGGAGAUGAGCUCGCGUCUGAUUAGCUAGUUGGUGGUGUAAGGGACCACCAAGGCGUCGAUCAGUAGCUGGUCUGAGAGGAUGAUCAGCCACACUGGGACUGAGACACGGCCCAGACUCCUACGGGAGGCAGCAGUGGGGAAUUUUCCGCAAUGGGCGAAAGCCUGACGGAGCAAUACCGCGUGAGGGAGGAAGGCUCUUGGGUCGUAAACCUCUUUUCUCAAGGAAGAAGAAAGUGACGGUACUUGAGGAAUAAGCAUCGGCUAACUCCGUGCCAGCAGCCGCGGUAAUACGGAGGAUGCAAGCGUUAUCCGGAAUGAUUGGGCGUAAAGGGUCUGCAGGUGGAACUGAAAGUCUGCUGUUAAAGAGUUUGGCUUAACCAAAUAAAAGCGGUGGAAACUACAGAACUAGAGUGCGGUAGGGGCAAAAGGAAUUCCUGGUGUAGCGGUGAAAUGCGUAGAUAUCAGGAAGAACACCGGUGGCGAAAGCGUUUUGCUAGACCGUAACUGACACUGAGGGACGAAAGCUAGGGGAGCGAAUGGGAUUAGAUACCCCAGUAGUCCUAGCCGUAAACGAUGGAUACUAGGCGUGGCUUGUAUCGACCCGAGCCGUGCCGGAGCUAACGCGUUAAGUAUCCCGCCUGGGGAGUACGCACGCAAGUGUGAAACUCAAAGGAAUUGACGGGGGCCCGCACAAGCGGUGGAGUAUGUGGUUUAAUUCGAUGCAACGCGAAGAACCUUACCAGGGCUUGACAUCCCGCGAAUCCCGAUGAAAGUUGGGAGUGCCUUAGGGAGCGCGGAGACAGGUGGUGCAUGGCUGUCGUCAGCUCGUGUCGUGAGAUGUUGGGUUAAGUCCCGCAACGAGCGCAACCCACGUUUUUAGUUGCCAGCAUUAAGUUGGGCACUCUAGAGAGACUGCCGGUGACAAACCGGAGGAAGGUGUGGACGACGUCAAGUCAUCAUGCCCCUUACGCCCUGGGCUACACACGUACUACAAUGGUUAGGACAACGGGCAGCGAGCAAGCGAUUGUAAGCGAAUCCAGAAACCUAGCCUCAGUUCAGAUUGCAGGCUGCAACUCGCCUGCAUGAAGGAGGAAUCGCUAGUAAUCGCAGGUCAGCAUACUGCGGUGAAUUCGUUCCCGGGCCUUGUACACACCGCCCGUCACACCAUGGGAGCUGGUCACGCC
rnacentral:rRNA from 1 species